GAAGCGGGAAGAGCUCAAAUUUAUAAUCUCGGCACCUUCGGUGUCCGAGUUGUAAUCUCUAGAAAUGUUUUCCGCGUUGGACCGCACACAAGUCUGUUGGAAUACAGCGGCAUAGUGGUGAGACCCCCGUAUAUGGUGCGGACGCCCAGCGCUUUGUGAUACAUUUUCGAAGAGUCGAGUUGUUUGGGAAUGCAGCUCAAAUUGGGUGGUAAAUUCCAUCUAAAGCUAAAUAUUGGCGAGAGACCGAUAGCGAACAAGUACCGUGAGGGAAAGAUGAAAAGCACUUUGGAAAGAGAGUUAACAGUACGUGAAAUUGUUGGAAGGGAAACGCUUGAAGUCAGACUUGCUUGCCGAGCAAUCGGUUUGCAGGCCAGCAUCAGUUUUCCGGGAUGGAUAAUGGUAGAGAGAAGGUAGCAGUUUCGGCUGUGUUAUAGCUCUCUGCUGGAUACAUCUUGGGGGACUGAGGAACGCAGCGUGCCUAUUGGCGGGGGUU
rnacentral:rRNA from 1 species